rnacentral:rRNA from 1 species
GAUGAACGCUCGCUACAGGCUUAACACAUGCAAGUCGAGGGGAAACGGCAUUAAGUGCUUGCACUUUUUGGACGUCGACCGGCGCACGGGUGAGUAACGCGUAUCCAACCUUCCCAUGACUAAGGGAUAACCUGCCGAAAGGCAGACUAAUACCUUAUGGUCUUCACUGACGGCAUCAGAUGUGAAGUAAAGAUUUAUCGGUUAUGGAUGGGGAUGCGUCUGAUUAGCUUGUUGGCGGGGUAACGGCCCACCAAGGCAACGAUCAGUAGGGGUUCUGAGAGGAAGGUCCCCCACAUUGGAACUGAGACACGGUCCAAACUCCUACGGGAGGCAGCAGUGAGGAAUAUUGGUCAAUGGGCGAGAGCCUGAACCAGCCAAGUAGCGUGCAGGAUGACGGCCCUAUGGGUUGUAAACUGCUUUUGUAUGGGGAUAAAGUCAAUCACGUGUGAUUGUUUGCAGGUACCAUACGAAUAAGAACCGGCUAAUUCCGUG